GCCAGACUAGUCCUGGGGGCCUGAAAGUCCCACUUACAGCAUCAGAGAAAGUCCUGGCUCUAAUUCCUGAUUUGAAAUGCUCCAGUCUCUAUAGCUUGCUAGGAUGAGCACAGAGACCCAGAACUCCCAACAGAUAAUGGUCUCCCCACAAAGUAUCCAUGCAUACAUCUUAGACUCCCACCACCACAUACACCAUCAGUGCACAAUUACACCCACUCACCCACCAGGACAAUCUCCCAUAAUGAUCCACAUGUCCACUAUAUGCACUCCCCCAGUUACAAACUGUCACAAGUACAUACUGUACCAUUCAAACACAUAGCUCACACAUGACUACAUCUCACAAUUACAUUCAUACAAUUAAAGAUGAUACACAAUCAAAAACCACAUAUUUAACACAAAAGUAGAUUCACAAAGAGAAACUAAUAUGUACUCUCAAAAACACUAACACAAUUCAUAUACAAUCACAAAAAGGGUGAUCACACAAUUACCCCAAAAGACAGUCACAUUUUAACAUGAUUACACACACACAACUUCAAGCCUAUGCAUACAAUGAUAGUUUCAAUUCACAACUUAAGCAGAAACAAGUAUUUACAUACAAGAAUUUCAAACACAUUUACACAUGUAGACACCAUCACAAACAUUCCCCAUCAGUAAUGUUCUAAUUGCCCAUACUACCACAAACACAGAAUGCACACACACACACACACACACACAACUCUCACACUCCAAGAUAUCCACAUCCUUUCAAAUAUAGCAAUCCCAGGAGAAGCUGCCUCUCCUCAGCUCUACCUUCUUUCAGUUUGUCCUCCUCCUUUUCUCUCUCCAGAGUCUGAGGGUCUUUCCACCCAUAUAUCCUUUAGGUACAGGUACCAGAAGCUGCCUCUGAAGCCCCAGCUCUCACCAAACCCAAGUAGCUGCAAGAUGUGCAGCUCAACAAGGAGCAGGCAGCCCUGACUCCGGAUCCGGAGGGUUUUAUUAUUUUUUUCCACAUAAAUUA
rnacentral:lncRNA from 1 species